rnacentral:rRNA from 1 species
UACGUAGGUGGCAAGCGUUGUCCGGAUUUACUGGGCGUAAAGAGCGCGCAGGCGGUCGUUUAAGUCGAAUGUGAAAGCCCCCGGCUCAACUGGGGAGGGUCAUUCGAUACUGAUCGACUUGAAGGCAGGAGAGAGAAGUGGAAUUCCCGGUGUAGUGGUGAAAUGCGUAGAUAUCAGGAGGAACACCAGUGGCGAAGGCGACUUCUUGGCCUGUUCUUGACGCUGAGGCGCGAAAGCUGGGGGAGCAAACGGG